ACGCUCGACACCUAGAGGCAGCAGUGGGGAAUAUUGCACAAUGGGGGAAACCCUGAUGCAGCGACGCCGCGUGGAGGAAGAAGGUCUUCGGAUUGUAAACUCCUGUUGUUGGGGAAAAAGAGGAUGGUACCCAACAAGGAAGUGACGGCUAACUACGUGCUAGCAGCCGCGGUAAUCUGAGCGGGCUGGCAAGGC
rnacentral:rRNA from 1 species